rnacentral:rRNA from 1 species
GACGAACGCUGGCGGCGUGCCUAACACAUGCAAGUCGAACGGAAAGGCCCUGCUUUUGCGGGGUUCUCGAGUGGCGAACGCGUGUGUAACACGUGAGUAACCCGUCCUUGACUUUGGGAUAACUCCAGGAAACUGGGGCGAAUACCGGAUAGGAGCUCCUGCUGCAUGGUGGGGGAUGGAAAGAGUCGGCCUUGGGGGAUGGACUCGCGGCUUAUCAGCUUGAUGGGCUGGUAGUGGCUGACCAAGGUUAUGACGGGUAGCCGGCCUGAGAGGGUGAACGGCCACAAUGGGCCUGCGGUACGGACCAGACUCCUACGGGAGGCAGUAGUGGGAAGUAUUGCACAGUGGGGGGGCGCCAGAUACGGCGACGCCGCGUGCGGGAUGCCGGCCUUCGGGUUAUAAACCGCUUUCGCCUGUAACGAAGAGUGAGUGACGGUAAUUGGUCAGGAAGCACCGGCUAACUACGUG